GGGAAGUGCCAUAGCUUAGUGGAAGAGCAUCUGCUUUGCAUGUAGAAAGUUCCCAGUUCAAAUCCUGGCACCCCCA